UACGUAGGGUGCAAGCGUUGUCCGGAAUCAUUGGGCGUAAAGCGCGUGUAGGCGGUUCGGUAAGUCGGCUGUGAAAGUCCAGGGCUCAACCCUGGGAUGCCGGUCGAUACUGCCGGACUAGAGUUCGGAAGAGGCGAGUGGAAUUCCCGGUGUAGCGGUGAAAUGCGCAGAUAUCGGGAGGAACACCAAUGGCGAAGGCAGCUCGCUGGGACGUUACUGACGCUGAGACGCGAAAGCGGUGGGGAGCAAACAGG
rnacentral:rRNA from 1 species